AACGAACGCUGGCGGCAGGCCUAACACAUGCAAGUCGAACGCCCUAGCAAUAGGGAGUGGCGCACGGGUGCGUAACGCGUGGGAAUAUGCCCUUCACUUCGGAAUAACGUUUGGAAACGAACGCUAAUACCGCAUAAUGACUCCGGUCCAAAGAUUUAUCGGUGAAGGAUUAGCCCGCGUUAGAUUAGCUAGUUGGUGAGGUAAUGGCUCACCAAGGCGACGAUCUAUAGCUGGUCUGAGAGGAUGAUCAGCCACACUGGGACUGAGACACGGCCCAGACUCCUACGGGAGGCAGCAGUGAGGAAUAUUGGACAAUGGGCGCAAGCCUGAUCCAGCCAUGCCGCGUGAGUGAAGAAGGCCUUCGGGUUGUAAAGCUCUUUCAGAUGUGAAGAUAAUGACGGUAGCAUCAGAAGAAGCCCCGGCUAAAUUCGUGCCAGCAGCCGCGGUAAU
rnacentral:rRNA from 1 species